CGCAGCCUGUACGGGGGCAAACAGAAGGCAGUGAGACAGGGGUGCAGCCCUGGGGCAGGGCCUGCUGUGGAGAGCUCACCUAUCUCGGCUCUGUCUGCACCCCCUUACCUACCUCGCCCCUCGCCUCACCUACAGCUUCAGCUCUCCUUGAGGGGAGGACUGCCUUGGCGGCGCCUUUUUAUAUGAUGCUCCAGCCCUUCUCAUGAUCGCCAGCAGGCACGCAAUGAUUUCAGCAUGAAUUACCAAAAGCAAAGGCAGGAGACUUACUUGCCUGAAAAUAAGCUCUGGUGCUGCUUUCAACACCACACCUCAGAGUGAAGAGUUGCCAUGAUUGUUGGGUGAAAUGAUAAAAACAUACGUGCUCCAGCUGCUGCCUCCUCUGUUCUCCCUUUUCAGAGCUCGGUGUUGGGAAAGUCUCUGCUCUAACUUUGUGGUCCCUGCAUCCCAAAUAUGGCCACAGUGGUUGAUUAGACUGGGGGAUUUGCUUUUUGAUUAUUUUUUUUUUUUUAAAAACAACACACAAACAGCCUUUUAAGAUCCCAGAAGCUAGAAGCAGCCCUACGAUAACAAACUGUGGUUAGAGCCACACUUUUAUCAUAAUACUAGCGUGGUAUUAACAAGUAAACAUUUUUUUCCUAGCCUAGCUAAAACGAAUUAAUAUUUUUGAAGGCCCAUGGGGAUUACCUGUAAACCAGCACAGGUAUUCCCAAACUCCCUCCUGGCACUGUGUACAGGUGUGCACCUUCAGCGACAAGCUGGGGCUCUUGCAAGAGGAAAAUGUGCACAUUACUGCUGACCUUUGACCAAGCUGGCAGUAAUCCCACUGCUUCACAUUACUACUUCCCUUCCUCUUUGCAGUGGGUGCUCACAGGCACCGGGCUACAGACAACGCAAGGGAGCCACCGAGCCAGGGGCUCCUGCAGCACUGUAUUGGCUUGCAGCCCUGUGCAAGGCCAGGGUAGAUGCGUCUGCCUUUUCCUGGGUCUGUGUAGCCUCUGGGGUGAUGCUCAUCCCCUGCACACCCUAGUCCACAAGGCCGGGUUGUUUUGGGGUUGCCCUGCUUGCCUAGGCCUCACUGCCUCAGCACUUAUCUCCAGUAGAGGAGGGAGCCAGACUGACCUCUUGCACUCCACUGACUGACAGCAGAGAAAUAAGGAAUCAGGUGGAUGCAGAGAAUAUUCAGACUCCCUCUUCCUUCCCUGCAGAGACCUCAGGAAACACAUCUGAGCGGUGCUGGGAAGGCCCUGAACAGGGAGAGCUCCCUGAGUGCAGUGCCAACCGCUGGCGGCGGUGAGCCUCAGUUUAGCAGUCCCGAGCCCUGACAGGGCAUGAAAGGAGCUCCCACCCCGUCCCCCGCAGCACAGCUCUCCCCGUCCCUCCUGCACGCUUCGUGCCAGCUUUAUCUCACCACUUCGCUCAUCUUCCAAAGGGAAGGAGGUGAUAGUUUCCGACACGAUUUCCCCCCACCUGUACUUCCCCUUACAAUGCAUCACAGGCAUGACUACAGCCAGACCGGGGCACGGCGCGGGCCCACUCAGCCCACUGACCUGUGGCAGAAAGCCACUGGCCCAAAAGCAUAGAAAAAGCAGUUCUUGCACGCUACACGGGAUGAGACCUGGCAUACCCCAACAUGUGGCAGUCACAAAUUUAGGGGCUUCCUGACGUUGGCAGCUUAUUGCUACUGCUGGAGCUACCUUCCACAAAUAGGCUGUGCCCCUUCAGGAACACAUGUAUAUUUUUGGCUUCCGCAGCAAAACUCCCAUGGGUUACAUGACUUGAUUACAUGCUGUGUGAAAAAGCAUUUCCUUCUGGUUACUUUAAAAGCGACCCAUUUGGGACGGUGAUUCUCAAAGUUCCUCCUGCUGUGCACUUGUGUGUGUGUGUCUGUGUGUGUUUUUCCUCGACCACUUCGUUGCCUGUUCUCACAGUUCAGCUCUUACUAUUGCUGGCGAGACCUCCAGGAGCAGCCAGGAAAGCUUCGGGACUGUGGAUCCUGGUGAUAACAAUGCAGUCGAGUGUGUAUUUUCUAUUUUCUUUUGCAGCAAUAGGGGAAGAGUAGGCGUACAGUAAAUGUCAGUGAGACAUCGCAUCAUGAGUUGCAUGAGGUUCUCCGCGCCUUGCCCCAAAGAGUCUCCUUUGCAACCAAAAGGAGAACAAAAACCUCCUCGGCAGUACAUGUGCAGGGGCUGGAAACUCCUGCUGAUGUCACAUCUACCCUUACAAGGCUCUGCACCCUUGAAACUGCAACCUGAAUGCUACAGGCCUGAAGGAACCAAGGUCCAUGAAGAGUCAUUCAGUCCCACAAAAGUCCCCUUUCACUUUAAAGGUGAACUGCAAAGCAAAAAUGAAAACUCAGUUCUGUCCCAUUUCUGCGCUGAAUGCUCUCCAUAACCAGGCUGCGGGGGAGGUAUCCACCAUGGAAAUAAUUUUUAAUGACUUUUCUAGAAAAAGAAAUAAACCACCCUCCUGCACACCGCGAAGCCUGCCUGCUCACUGGGCACUCGCGUUGCUCCUCCGCUGGCAGCCCGCGGCGCUGAACCAAGGAAAGGGCUGACCAAACAGCAGAAAAAGUGUGUUUCAUUCAAACUACUCCUAAACACAACAGGGCUGAUUAGAAGAGAAAGGUGAAUUUAGAGGAAAAGCAUCCUUCCUUGUUCACUCUGAAACAGAGGGCAGAAAGGCUGUUGAGCUCACGUUUUUUAAGAAGAGUCUUUAACAAUCUUUAAUUCUUAACAAAACCUUUAACCAGAUUUCCCCCUUUCCUUCAUCCCUUGUGGCAGCCAGGUUUCAGAAAUUCCCCCGGCCACAGAGAGCUUGGUUCUGCUGGCCAGGCUGCACAGGAGAGCGGCUUGCCUCUGGGACAGAGCACUGCUGAGACAUUUGCCUGUAAAAGGCAGCAAAAGACCACGCAAGGCUUUAGAGGAGCAGGGUCAGGCUGCUGGAAACUUCAGUUAAUUCCCUGGGAAAGGAGAGCCCGAAGCCAUCUCCUUCCCUUCCACCCACCACUUCUCUAUCCUGCUGAGCCAUUUUGACAUUUUUUUUUGGCCUCACCUUGUGUCACCUCGCUCCACACACAACCCACAAGGCAAGCCACACGGAGGGAAAGGUCCUUCGUGGUGGACCUGGAGUCCCUCGCCCCUCUGAGUAAGCAGCACGUAAGACAGUGCACCUGUACAUUUUUCCAAAUGACACUUCUACAAAAAGCUCUGUCAGGCUUUUAUGUUAGUUUAAAAAUUGAGAAAUUUGAAGAGCUCAACUGGACUGGACUCUCCCCGUUGGUCUUUUCUUUACCCCAGGAAAUUUUACCAGUGAGCGAUCAGAUUCUUUCAAGGAUUUCCAUGAAGAUAAAACUCAGCAAAUAUCCUGUGCUACACUUGAACACUGAAAGAAAUACCUCAUAUGUCAUCUAACCCACACUGUGAAUAUACCGAAAAGAGCCCAACAGAUGCUCAGAUAAUUCCUGUGUGGAGACACUGGGACAAAAUCACUGCCUCACUCUGCAUUUCACUACAAAGACCUCAUGAAAUGAGAAAGACCAGAUGAAACAGAGAAAAGUAGGUGCUGACAGCCCUCUUCAGAGAGCCUGGGACUGGCUACUAACCUGCACACAAGUGCCUGGGAAGUCUCCAAGGGUCCUGCUGCCCAGGCUCAAUUUCAGCAUGCAGGGAGGUCUCAGCACACAGAGAAAAGAGGAAUGCUCCUUUCCCCUUUCAUAAACUCCAGCCCAGCCCUCGGUAAUGAAUUAAUUACUGCCGCUAUCCAUCCCUCAGCUGUUCUGCACUGCUCUGGCAAAGAGAAGCAGCUGUGAACCGAAUUUGGUUCACGGUGUCACAGUUUAGCUGCUGUCACGGUGACCUUCUGAGGAGAAAUCCUUGGAACCACGAAGCAGCUGUGAAAAGCAGAGGAGACCUUUCUGCAUCUACAGACAGCAAGACAGCACAUCUCAGGGGAUGUGCACUAAGCCCAUCUUUCCAGCAGGCUGUUAACCAGGGGCCCUAGUGAUGACGAAUCGGAAAGUAUCAAUCUUAUUUGUCUCCCUGAUGACACCUUGCUAAGAAGUUAUGUGCUGUGGGCAACACUCGCUUCAGAGAAGCUCACGCGGCUGUCCCAACACGUGUGCUGUCAGGUGUGGGCUUGGUUUCUCGGACACGCACCGCUCCCAUCAGGUCCUGCCAAAGCCUUCCUCCCUCUGACUAGAGUUGCAUUGGAAGGUUCCUGACAAAAACACCAGAAACUUAAUUUCACUCCCUCUUGGUUAUCUUUAUGCCAUGAAAACCAGGCAGAUGGAGGAGAGAGUGUCACGGUGACCUUCUGGUAGGUCCUGCUCACUUACUCAUCCCAGAUGUGGGGAGGGAGGUAGCGACUAAAUCGCUGCUCUGACAAAAACCUGGCCUUGAAGAAACUCCACGGAUCAUGAAAACUUGCACUAUCUGCAAUUAGCAACUGAGAAGGUGAAAGGGAAUCUGAAGCACUUUGGUGAAGGGGCUCACUGCAGCGCUGGGGCAACUCCCGCCAGCCAGUCCUCCUCCCCCCUGCUCCUGCCCUGCCCGAGUCCUGUUUCGGAACUUCUCGAGAUAAAAAUCUGCCGCUCUCUGAGUCACGAGUGCCUCGCGCUGGGACAAGCCCACCGCUUGGGUAUGUCCAGUCUGUUUUGCUUAUAAGAUGAGUAAGAUUGCAACUCUUCACAUCACAAGUCAGUUGGCAAAUUUCUGAUCUUGGUGCUAGCCAGGAGGUCGCCUCCGAGCACGGAGCUGGAGAGGAGAAGUCAAAGUACUUGGGGGGAACAGUGAUGACGACUAAAUCAUUUCUGAAUAUCCUCCCCUUUGCCGCAGAGCCCUCUGCAUGGAUGUUGCUCAGGGAGGAAAGGAAGGAGGGCUUCCUUAUUUUCUUACCUCCUGUCAGUGUAUAUGAGGAGGGACGCUGGGGAUGGGGACAUUUCUGAUUUGGGGAAAGGAGAGAAGGGAAGAGUCUUUCCGAGCCUUCCCCCUUUCUCCUUUCCCUGCACUGGGAGUAGGUGACCCAGCUAGAUGAAAAAGGGCAGGGGAAACAAAAAAUUUGGAUGCCUUUGGAGGAUUUGCAUGUUUUAGUUCCGUUCAAGCUCAAAUCCCUGCAUCUGGCUCAGCACUCUUACAAUUUCCCAGUUCGGGACAGAAACUAGAUGUGGCAGUUGUGUAAGACAGGCCUUUGGGGGAGAUUUGUAGCACAUGAAGACAAAAAUAAAUUUGUUAUUUUUUUUUUUUC